AGCAAAAAUAUAUUUCAUAUUUAAUUAUUAAUAUACCUGCAUUUAAGCAGAAUGUUGUGAAAGAAUUAUAACCAGGAGUUGUGCAUUAAAAUGUACCAAUGAAUCAUUCUUAUAUUGUAGCUCACUUUUCAGUUAUAUUUUCAGAAUCAAGAUAGUCAAUUACUCUUUAACGAGUUCCCUUAAACAUUACGUCAUGAAUGUGAUAGCAGGAGAAAACAACGAAUUGUGGGCAAAAACCUUCAUACACCAGAUGGAGAAGGAGGAAAGGUGAAGAUGAAAACAAAGAGUAACUGUAACUGCAAGUAACUGCGUGUAAAACGUUAGCCAUUAGCAACAGCGCUUAAACCUGGGGAUAAUUUUAAAAAUAAAGUGG